rnacentral:rRNA from 1 species
CAGCCGCCGCGGUAAUACGGGGGGGGCAAGUGUUAUUCGGAAUGACUGGGCGUAAAGGGCACGUAGGCGGUUUCUUAAGUCUGAUGUGAAAGCCCCCGGCUCAACCGGGGAGGGUCAUUGGAAACUGGGAAACUUGAGUGCAGAAGAGGAGAGUGGAAUUCCACGUGUAGCGGUGAAAUGCGUAGAGAUGUGGAGGAACACCAGUGGCGAAGGCGACUCUCUGGUCUGUAACUGACGCUGAGGAGCGAAAGCGUGGGGAGCGAACAGGAUUAGAUACCCGUGUAGUCCCUGUCUCUUAUAA